GCUAGGCAUGGUGACGUGUGCAUGUAGUCCCAGUUACUUGGGAUGCUGAGGCAGGAGAAUUACUUGCACUUGGGAGCUCAAGAUCAGGCUGGAAAACAUGGCAAGAUCCUAUCUCAA
rnacentral:sRNA from 1 species